rnacentral:lncRNA from 1 species
AUGAUUGCCCCACAGCCCCUGGAAAGGGUGACCCCCAAAUUCCAGCUCCUGGGAUCCAGUGGUGGGUGCAGGGGCGGGGAGAGGCGACCCUGGACUGGGUUUAGGCAUUGGGGCCAGGAGACUGGCAGACAUGCUGCCUCCCCGCCUUCCAGAGCCCACGGGCUGCAAAAGGUGAUUCUGAGGCAGGCUCUGCACUCCUGCAGGGGGCAGGUGGUAGACCCAUCAUCAGCCCUGGAUCUGGGUGAAGCUAGGAGUGACAGAGACCCAAGGUGGGAGAGCCCCGCUAUGCCUGCCGAGCCCACACCCGGCUGCUUACAAGAGCUGAACCCUGCCACCUGCAGUAGCUUUGGGGACCCAGGACACUCUGAAGUCAAGGACCUGGCUCAGAGGGAAGAGAGGAGACAAGCAGAACCCACAACCCAGAGGCCAUUCAUCGGCCUGUGGGGGAGGAAGCUCGUUCAGGGAGCCCCAAGGCCCUCAGGCCUGCCUUCCCAGGGCCUGCCAGAACCCCAACAUCUCCCCCAGGGGCCAGGCUGGGGCCUGGGCCAGCAGAGAGCAGAGCUUCAGAAAUUGCUGAGGAUUGAGAUUCUUCAGAGGCCGAGAGAGGAGGACCCUCAAGAGCAGAAAGAAGGGUGUCCCCGGGGUCAGAGAGGGGAGGCCCCCAGGGGAGAGAACAAAGAAGUUCCCAAGAGACAGGGAGAGCAGCUACACCAGGGUCCGAGCGCGGAGGCUACUCAGGCUCUGAGGGAGGAGGUCUCUGUGAAUCCCAGGGGGGAGCCUCCUCCGAGCGAGCGGAGAGAGUCUCCUCAAGGUCAAGGCGGAAACAGGCCUGAGUGCCCGGGAAAGGAGGGAAAGGAGGUCCUCCGGGAGCCGAGGAAGGAGACCCCGCAGGCCCUUCAGACUUGCCCCCGGCGCCUCUCACAAGCCCGGGGGGUGGAUGAGGGAGAGGUCCCCACACCGUCCCCGGAGGAAGGCGGCUCCCCGGGAACUUCCAGGGACUUCCACCGGUCCCUGGGAGAACAGAAGCCCCAGCCUGCGGGAAGGGAGGGCGCUGGCUCCGGGGAAAGGACCACCCAGCUGACGCCGGGCAAAACGGACGGCCCGAGGCGAGAGUCGGCUCCGGCGGGAGAGCGGAGGGCCGAGCGGCAGGCGGCCCCAGACCCUGGGGGCUCCGGGCGGCGGGAGCGCCCCGCAGCUCUCCCGGGACGCCCGGGGCCGGGGCGCG